rnacentral:misc_RNA from 1 species
GAUGAAGAACGUAGCGAAAUGCGAUAAGUAAUGUGAAUUGCAGAAUUCAGUGAAUCAUCGAAUCUUUGAACGCACAUUGCGCCCGCCAGUAUUCUGGCGGGCAUGCCUGUUCGAGCGUCAUUACAACCCUCAGGCCCCCGGGCCUGGCGUUGGGGAUCGGCGGAGCCCCCCGUGGGCACACGCCGUCCCCCAAAUACAGUGGCGGUCCCGCCGCAGCUUCCAUCGCGUAGUAGCUAACACCUCGCGACUGGAGAGCGGCGCGGCCACGCCGUAAAACACCCAACUCUUCUGAAGUUGACCUCGAAUCAGGUAGGAAUACCCGCUGAACUUAAGCAUAUCUAUAAGCGGAGGA